rnacentral:snoRNA from 2 species
AUCCUUUUGGAAGUCAUAAGUGUGAUUGGGUUUUCAUGCCCUUGUGUCAAACGUGUCUCCCUCAAACCGUGUUACAAAGUGGGCACACUACCUGCCUGACG